rnacentral:misc_RNA from 1 species
CACGGUUCGAUGAUGUCGAAUUGUAGCGCAUUCUGUUAUUCCUCCCGAUAAGGCGGUCGCUCUCCGUAUCGAGAACAAACUCGCCAGCAUUUCCGCCGCUCAUCGUUUCGCGAACUUGACGGAAGUAAAAACUUUCUUCAACUAUAGUCGGAAUGUCAAGCGGCCAUAAUCACUUUGAAGGAGUUUUCAAAAAUGUCCAAGCCGACU